UUUUUUUGCACUGCAUUAUUAUAAAUUCAAUUGUGGUUUUAGAAGCAGGUUCAGUUGAGCUGUUUUUUGAAAGUGUGAAAGCAGAAGUUAAGGCAGGAGUGUUCUGAUUGGAUAUACUGCUGUUCUUUCUUUAGAUUUUAUAUGGAACUACAACUCUUUAAUUUAGUUUUUUUUGUUUUAUUUUCUAUUUAAAAAAAAAAGCUUAUUUGUGAAGAGCAUCAUGGUUAUUUAUUUUCCCAGGUCAAGGGUGUUCCCCUGCCCUAAUAUCCUUAUGUUUUCAUUUUGACGUGUCAGUUGAGCUAUAAAAGUCAUUUUUCAAAAGUAACAUGGAUAAAUUACUAUUUAGUUUGUAUCCAUUGUGCUCAGUUUAUCAAACUCUGUUGUUCCAUUUGAUUUUUGUUUCAAAUUUUCAUUUUGAUGAUGAUAAUAAUAAUAACCCAUGGCACAUAAAAUUUUCAAAUUUUCAUUCAGUUACAUGGCAUGUAACCCAUGGCAAUGAAGUUUGAUCCUAUCAUGUGAAACUUUUCAAAGUCAUGUAAAGCCUGCUCAUUUUUUAAUUGCUGCAUGGCAGAGGCUAAACCUGGAUAUAUCAGUGGUUUCUUCACAGUUUGCUUUUAGGAAGAUUUGUUCUUCUCUGUUUUGAUGCUUAGGGUACUAUUACUUGAAUUUUAAUUUUAUCUUUGGACACAAAAAUCUUUAAUUAAGGCAAUUUAUUAAUUAAUUUGCAGAAACAUUUUCUUUUCUCUCUUCUUUUUAUUGUUGGCUCUCUUCAAGAAAUUUAUUGAGGCCAACGAACAUUUAAAUGUUAGUUUUGAAUAAUCCCCCUGCUUUUGUUUACCUAUCAAUCUGAUUAUCAAACAAAAUUGUGGGAAAUGUUCUGAUGAUUUUGAAAUUUUUUGUAGACGUUGGUUAGCUACCAGUUACCUGUGGUUGUGAUAGUUUUUA
rnacentral:misc_RNA from 1 species